AUUGAACGCUGGCGGCAGGCCUAACACAUGCAAGUCGAGCGGCAGCGGGAAAGUAGCUUGCUACUUUUGCCGGCGAGCGGCGGACGGGUGAGUAAUGCCUGGGAAAUUGCCCAGUCGAGGGGGAUAACAGUUGGAAACGACUGCUAAUACCGCAUACGCCCUACGGGGGAAAGCAGGGGACCUUCGGGCCUUGCGCGAUUGGAUAUGCCCAGGUGGGAUUAGCUAGUUGGUGAGGUAAUGGCUCACCAAGGCGACGAUCCCUAGCUGGUCUGAGAGGAUGAUCAGCCACACUGGAACUGAGACACGGUCCAGACUCCUACGGGAGGCAGCAGUGGGGAAUAUUGCACAAUGGGGGAAACCCUGAUGCAGCCAUGCCGCGUGUGUGAAGAAGGCCUUCGGGUUGUAAAGCACUUUAAGUCGGGAGGAAGGGCUGUAGGCUAAUACCUUGCAGUUUUGACGUUACCGACAGAAUAAGCACCGGCUAACUUCGUGCCAGCCGCCGCGGUAA
rnacentral:rRNA from 1 species